rnacentral:rRNA from 1 species
GGAUAACCGCCCGAAGGGUUGUAAACUGCUUUUGUAGGCCAAGAAAAAGCGCUACGUGUGGUGGUCUGACGGUAGUGUAUGAAUAAGCAUCGGCUAACUCCGUGCCAGCAGCCGCGGUAAUACGGAGGAUGCAAGCGUUAUCCGGAUUCAUUGGGUUUAAAGGGUGCGUAGGCGGCUUUUUAAGUCAGUGGUGAAAUCCUGCCGCUUAACGGUAGAAUUGCCAUUGAUACUGAAAAGCUUGAGUCCAGUUGAGGUAAGCGGAAUGUGUAGUGUAGCGGUGAAAUGCUUAGAUAUUACACAGAACACCAAUUGCGAAGGCAGCUUACUAAACUGGCACUGACGCUGAUGCACGAAAGCGUGGGGAGCGAACAGGAUUAGAUACCCUGGUAG